UACAGAGACCCCGAGCAUUAUCCGGAAUUACUGGGCGUAAAGAGCGAGCAGCCGGUCUUUUUAGUCCGAUGUUAAAUCAUGGGGCCCAACCUCAUGUCCGCAUUGGAAACGGAGAGACUAGAGUAGAUGAAAGGGAGGCGGAACGUAUGGUGUAGGGGUGAAAUCCACUGAUAUCAUACGGAACACCAAAAGCGAAGGCAGCCUCCUGGCGUCUUACUGACGGUCAGUCGCGAAAGCGUGGGGAUCAAAAAGG
rnacentral:rRNA from 1 species